rnacentral:rRNA from 1 species
GCCUAUAUGAAGUCGGAAUUGCUGUAAUCGCAGAUCAGCAUGCUGCGGUGAAUACGUUCCCGGGCCUUGUACACACCGCCCGUCACACCAUGAGAGUCGAUAACACCCGAAGCCUGUAGUCUAACCAUAAGGGGGACGCAGUCGAAGGUGGGAUUGAUAAUUAGGGUGAAGUCGUAACAAGGUAGC